UACGUAGGGUGCGAGCGUUGUCCGGAAUUAUUGGGCGUAAAGGGUGCGUAGGCGGGUCUUUAAGUCAGGGGUGAAAUCCUGGAGCUCAACUCCAGAACUGCCUUUGAUACUGAGGAUCUUGAGUUCGGGAGAGGUGAGUGGAACUGCGAGUGUAGAGGUGAAAUUCGUAGAUAUUCGCAAGAACACCAGUGGCGAAGGCGGCUCACUGGCCCGAUACUGACGCUGAGGCACGAAAGCGUGGGGAGCAAACAGG
rnacentral:rRNA from 1 species